UUAAAUUGAAGAGUUUGAUCAUGGCUCAGAUUGAACGCUGGCGGCAGGCCUAACACAUGCAAGUCGAGCGGUAGCAC
rnacentral:rRNA from 4 species